rnacentral:rRNA from 1 species
GUCCACGCCGUAAACGUUGGGCACUAGGUGUGGGACCUUUUCAACGGGUUCCGUGCCGUAGCUAACGCAGUAAGUGCCCCGCCUGGGGAGUACGGUCGCAAGACUAAAACUCAAAGGAAUUGACGGGGGCCCGCACAAGCGGCGGAGCAUGUUGCUUAAUUCGAUGCAACGCGAAGAACCUUACCUGGGCUUGACAUGUACGGAAAAGCUGCAGAGAUGUGGUGUCCUUCGGGGCCGUACACAGGUGGUGCAUGGCUGUCGU